ACACCGAUGGUGAAGCGGUUAUCAUGCUUGCCUUCCAUUUGUGCGGGAAAAGCCGUACGAGCAAGCGGCAGGGGUUCGACUCCCCUUCGGUGUA